UACGAAGGGGGCUAGCGUUGCUCGGAAUUACUGGGCGUAAAGGGCGCGUAGGCGGUUCUAUAAGUCAGGCGUGAAAUUCCUGGGCUUAACCUGGGGGCUGCGCUUGAGACUGUGGGACUUGAGGUCAGAAGAGGGUCGUGGAAUUCCCAGUGUAGAGGUGAAAUUCGUAGAUAUUGGGAAGAACACCGGUGGCGAAGGCGGCGACCUGGUCUGAUACUGACGCUGAGGCACGAAAGCGUGGGGAGCAAACAGG
rnacentral:rRNA from 1 species